AUUGAACGCUGGCGGCAGGCCUAACACUUGCAAGUCGAACGGAAGCAGGGAGCAGGUUGCUGGUUCCAGCGGGGGACGGGGGCGUAAGGGCUAGGAAUGUGCAAGGGAGUGGGGGAUAAGGACAGCAAAUGGGAGCUAAUACCGCAUACGCAUAGAGGGAGAAAGUGGGGGAGCUUGGGAUCCGAGGCUAUCAGAUGAGCCUAGGUCGGAUUAGCUAGUUGGUGGGGUAAAGGCCUACCAAGGCGACGAUCCGUAACUGGUCUGAGAGGAUGAGCAGUCACACUGGAACUGAGACACGGUCCAGACUCCUACGGGAGGCAGCAGUGGGGAAUAUUGGACAAUGGGCGAAAGCCUGACCCAGCCAUGCCGCGUGUGUGAAGAAGGUCUUCGGAUUGUAAAGCACUUUAAGUGGGGAGGAAGGGAAGUAAGUUAAUACCUUGCUGUUUUGACGUUACCAGCAGAAUAAGCACCGGCUAACUUCGUG
rnacentral:rRNA from 1 species